rnacentral:misc_RNA from 1 species
AAUCAUCAACCUCAAAACCUUUGUGUUUUCGAGGCUUGGUCUUGAGGGUUUGCAGGCCUUUACCGGUCAGCUCCCUUUAAAUCUAUUAGCGAGACUUCCCUGUGCUGACUGUCUCUUGGCGUGAUAAUUAUCUGCGUCAAACUUGACGGUCUCGUUGGGCUUGCUUCUAAUCGUCUUCGGACAAAAGGAUCGAAGCGCAUAUAUGCGUCUCUUUUCAAACCUU